AACGAACGCUGGCGGCAGGCUUAACACAUGCAAGCCGAGCGCCCCGCAAGGGGAGCGGCAGACGGGUGAGUAACACGUGGGAACCUACCCUUUUCUGCGGGAUAGCUCUGGGAAACUGGAAUUAAUACCGCAUACGCCCUACGGGGGAAAGAUUUAUCGGAGAAGGAUGGGCCCGCGUUGGAUUAGCUAGUUGGUGGGGUAAUGGCCUACCAAGGCGACGAUCCAUAGCUGGUCUGAGAGGAUGAUCAGCCACAUUGGGACUGAGACACGGCCCAAACUCCUACGGGAGGCAGCAGUGGGGAAUAUUGGACAAUGGGGGCAACCCUGAUCCAGCCAUGCCGCGUGAGUGAUGAAGGCCUUAGGGUUGUAAAGCUCUUUCACCGGUGAAGAUAAUGACGGUAACCGGAGAAGAAGCCCCGGCUAACUUCGUGCCAGCCGCCGCGGUAAUAC
rnacentral:rRNA from 1 species